rnacentral:rRNA from 1 species
CUCGGAGUUUGAUCCUGGCUCAGAUUGAACGCUGGCGGAAUGCUUUACACAUGCAAGUCGAACGGUAGAGGGGGCAACCCCUUGAGAGUGGCGAACGGGUGAGUAAUAUAUCGGAACGUGCCCAGUCGUGGGGGAUAACGUAGUGAAAAUUACGCUAAUACCGGCAUACGAUCUAAGGAUGAAAGUGGGGAUCGCAAGACCUCAUGGCUCGUGGAGCGGCCGAUAUCGUGAUUA